AAAUAAUUAAAUAAAAAAACGGUUUAUUUGACUAGAAAUUAGAAAUACUUUAAACCCUUAAAACAUAAAAAAAAUCUUAAACCCUUUUUGUUCAAUUUGCAAUUGUUGUAACUGAACUCUAACACCUCACGUGCACCACCUUCAACGCCUCACUCGCAUCACCUCCGAAUUCCACCUCCAAUUUCCAUCUCCGGCCAUCAUCUCCGACGACAUUUUGUCCAUCACGCUCUCAAUUUCAUUCCAGCAGACAACAUGGAAAUAUUCAUCGAAAUUUGAAAGUUGAUUCAACCCAGCAAAUCAUUUUGGGAGAAACCGACAACCAUACUCACCAUUGUUACCAGCAAUUUACAGGUCAAAUUGAAGAUGUCGAAGGUCACAGUUUAUGCUCGUAACAGGCCUUUGAGUUACAGCAAGAUCACAGAUCACGGCUCUUGCGUCAAUAUUCAUCGCAUCGACAACGAAUCGUUCAACUUCAAGGUUAAAUGUUCCUUUUCUGUAGAAAAAUUAAAUGGAGAUGCUGAUCGCAAAUCGCAUUUUUCUUUUCAUUUAAUUUUGUUGAUUUUUUUUUGCUGAAAUUGGAUAUGUCUGAUUUCUGUUGAAGGAUGAGAAAGAUGGAGAUCUAUGUUUCAACUUUGACAAAGCAUUCUACGAGGAUUCUGCUCAAGCUAGUGAGUAUGAAGCUUUAGCUUUGUCGAUUGUUCAAGAUGCUUCAUAUUGUGAGGAUAUUCAAAUUUUGGCUAUAUAAAGGGACUUGGAAAAUACGAGGAAACAAUGAUCGGGAGAACAUGGUAAUCAAUUCAAGUUUUCACUCAACUUUCGGCUUGUUUGAUGACUGUUUAUGCGGUUGAGUUUACUCAUCUUUUUCGAGUUUACUCAAUUUGGCUUCAGCUCGAGGGAUCUGUGGUCAAUAAUACUUCCUUCAGACUCGGAAAAGAUCAUUGCAAGUGCUGCUAGGAAAGCAAGUGAGGUAUGUUUACCUUGCAGCGUUAUCUGUUUUUUGCAUGUUUGUUUGGUUAACCUGUUGAAAUGGUUUGACUGGACGGCUGAAAUGAUUUUAGAGUUGCCUUAUCAUGUUUUUAUGUUUUUCU